CGCAUCUGUGCAUGCAGCAUAUCAAUAAGCGGAGGAAAAGAAACUAACAAGGAUUCCCCUAGUAACGGCGAGUGAAGCGGGAAGAGCUCAAAUUUGAAAUCUUAAAGGGUUUCCCUUUACGUAUUGUAGUUUAAAGAAGUGUUUUCUGUUGAGGUUUUGGUAAAAGUUCUUUGGAAUAGGACAUCAUAGAGGGUGAGAAUCCCGUAUUUGACCUUUACUUUCAACUUUGUGAUACACUUUCAAAGAGUCGGAUUGUUUGGGAAUGCAGUCCAAAAUGGGUGGUAAAUUUCAUCUAAAGCUAAAUAUUGGCGAGAGACCGAUAGCGAACAAGUACCGUGAGGGAAAGAUGAAAAGAACUUUGAAAAGAGAGUUAAACAGUACGUGAAAUUGUCAAAAGGGAAGCGUUUGACACCAGUGUUGUUUUUCUGAAAAUCAAUUAAAGAACUGUUUAUGCUAAGCUGUUUAGACUUUAUCAGCUAUCUGUUUAGUUUUGAGCUUUUCUUUAAUGCACUUUUCAGUUAACAAGUCAACAUCAAUUUCUUUUGCUGUAAAAAAGCUUGAGGAAGGUGGCUUGAGAUUCGUCUUAAGUGUUUAUAGCCUCUUGCCUAUGCAGUCGGAGAGAUUGAGGUCUGCAGCGUAGAUCCUUCGGGGCUAAAUGCAUUUGUGCUAAGUUAUAGCAUUUUAUAGACAACUUGUUGACUAUGAUUUGUCUUGUAGCUUACUCGCUUAUGUUAUUUUACCUACGCUUAGGAUGUUGAAUCUGUGCGAGACUAC
rnacentral:rRNA from 1 species